GAUAAGUUUUAUUCUUGCUUUUUCAUUCAGUUGUUUGUUUGUUCUAUAUGUAAGUUUUUGCGUGGUUGUUUAUUUUGGUUCUAGAUGGGCUGAAAAAAGGCGUUAUUAUUCAGGAGCGUGUUUAUGUUGAUUGUGUUGUAUAAUUCUCAUUAGUUAUUAUUGGUUGAUCAAGUAGUCUUGUAUUCAGCGAUACAUUUUAGUUUCGGUUAAAUUUUGUGCCAGCAGCCGCGGUUAUACCUUGGAAGCGUUUGAAUGUAUUUGGCAUUGUGAUAGUUAUAUUAAUGGAGUUUGUUGGUAAGUUUUUGCGUGGUUGUUGGGUGAAAUUUUUAUUGUUCGUUGUUUGCCUAUUUUUUAUUUGGAGGCUAUGAAAUUCUUUUUAUAAACUAGGAUUAGAUACCCUAUUAUUUUAGAAUGUUAAUUUUGGGUGCCUGAGUAGUAUUAGUUAUGUUCUUGAAACUUAAAGAAUUUGGCGGUAUCUCAUUCCAUCCAGAGGAAUCUGUCCCGUUAUCGAUAGUCCGCGUUGGACCUUACUUAGUUUAAAUUUUGGUUUGUAUACCGCCGUUUAUUGAUUAUCUUUUUAGAGUUUAUUAAUUUUCUGGUUUCUUUAUUAUGGUUUAUUUCAGGUCAAGGUGCAGCUUGUUUCUAAGUGGAAUUGAUGGAUUACAUUAUUAUUUGUUUUUGGAUUGUUGAUUUUAAUAUUGGUAUGAAAUUGGAUUUGGUUGUAAUUUCUUGUAGAUUGUUGUUGUGAUAGUUGGUUCUGAGAUAUGUACACAUCGCCCGUCGCUCUCGUUUAUUAAUGAGAUAAGUCGUAACAAAGUGGUUGUACCGGAAGGUGCGGCUGGAUUGAU
rnacentral:ncRNA from 1 species